UGGGGCGUCGUCCAAUGGCAGGACACAUGCCUUUGGAGCAUGGCAUUUAGGUUCGAAUCCUAACGCCCCAGCCA
rnacentral:tRNA from 1 species